GACGAACGCUGGCGGCGUGCUUAACACAUGCAAGUCGAACGAUGAAGCCCAGCUUGCUGGGUGGAUUAGUGGCGAACGGGUGAGUAACACGUGAGUAACCUGCCCUUCACUCUGGGAUAACUCCGGGAAACCGGGGCUAAUACUGGAUAUGACUCCUCCUCGCAUGGGGUGGGAGUGGAAAGCUUUUGUGGUGGAGGAUGGACUCGCGGCCUAUCAGCUUGUUGGUGAGGUAGUGGCUCACCAAGGCGACGACGGGUAGCCGGCCUGAGAGGGCGACCGGCCACACUGGGACUGAGACACGGCCCAGACUCCUACGGGAGGCAGCAGUGGGGAAUAUUGCACAAUGGGCGAAAGCCUGAUGCAGCGACGCCGCGUGAGGGAUGAAGGCCUUCGGGUUGUAAACCUCUUUCAGCUCUGAAGAAGCGAAAGUGACGGUAGGAGCAGAAGAAGCACCGGCUAACUACGUGCCAGCAGCCGCCGUAA
rnacentral:rRNA from 1 species